GACGAACGCUGGCGGCGUGCUUAACACAUGCAAGUCGAACGGAAAGGCCCUGCUUUUGUGGGGUGCUCGAGUGGCGAACGGGUGAGUAACACGUGAGUAACCUGCCCUUAACUUUGGGAUAACUUCAGGAAACUGGGGCUAAUACCGGAUAGGAGCUCCUGCUGCAUGGUGGGGGUUGGAAAGUUUCGGCGGUUGGGGAUGGACUCGCGGCUUAUCAGCUUGUUGGUGGGGUAGUGGCUUACCAAGGCUUUGACGGGUAGCCGGCCUGAGAGGGUGACCGGCCACAUUGGGACUGAGAUACGGCCCAGACUCCUACGGGAGGCAGCAGUGGGGAAUAUUGCACAAUGGGCGGAAGCCUGAUGCAGCAACGCCGCGUGCGGGAUGACGGCCUUCGGGUUGUAAACCGCUUUCGCCUGUGACGAAGCGUGAGUGACGGUAAUGGGUAAAGAAGCACCGGCUAACUAUGUG
rnacentral:rRNA from 1 species